CCUUAAAUGUUGAAAAGUCACAAAUGAAGUAAUUUAAGAUAUGGUGUGAUUGAACUCUGAGAUAAUGUAUUUUAUAUUACAGUCACCAUGAAUAUGUGCACCAAGGGAAUGAACACAUAAAUUAAAAGGGCCUAAAUAGUGUUCCUUGGAGUGAAAAUUACUCUGGGAGUGAAUAAACAAGAGCAACGCAAGUGGCUCCUAGAGAAGAUCCAUGAAGAACACUCAGAAUCUUCUGCUGAACUGCUGUGUCCGGAAUUGGUGGCUUCUUGAUCUCACUGACUUCAUGAAUGAAGCCGCGGACCCUCAUGGUGAGUGUUAUGGUUCUUAAA